GACGAACGCUGGCGGCGUGCUUAACACAUGCAAGUCGAACGGAAAGGCCCUGCUUUUGUGGGGUGCUCGAGUGGCGAACGGGUGAGUAACACGUGAGUAACCUGCCCUUGACUUUGGGAUAACUUCAGGAAACUGGGGCUAAUACCGGAUAGGAGCUCCUGCUGCAUGGUGGGGGUUGGAAAGUUUCGGCGGUUGGGGAUGGACUCGCGGCUUAUCAGCUUGUUGGUGGGGUAGUGGCUUACCAAGGCUUUGACGGGUAGCCGGCCUGAGAGGGUGACCGGCAACAUUGGGACUGAGAUACGGCCCAGACUCAUACGGGAGGCAGCAGUGGAGAAUAUUGCACAAUGAGCGGAAGACUGAUGCAGCAACGCCGCGUGCGGGAUGACGGCCUUCGGGUUGUAAACCGCUUUCGCCUGUGACGAAGCGUGAGUGACGGUAAUGGGUAAAGAAGCACCGGCUAACUACGAG
rnacentral:rRNA from 1 species